rnacentral:tRNA from 1 species
AAAGGGUUAGCACAAUUGGUUAGUGCAAUAGACUUUGACUCUAUUGACGGGUGUUCAAAUCACUCACCCUUUG